CCACAGAAAAUUACCGCCACGGAUUUCGGUCCGGGGUCAGGGUGAAAACGUGAGGUAAGAGCUCACGGCUGUACCUGGCAACAGGUAUGGCGGGUAAACCUUGCAUGCUGAAAUGCCACAUAAACCAUCGGUUGAAGGCGGCCCGCCUGAUGCCGUUCUGCCCGGGUCUCGAUCCGGAGCUCCGGCAACGAUGGAGGGUAGGCAGAUUGAUCCGCCGGGCAACCGGCAGGACAGAUAAAUGAUAGCCGUUCCGCCAAAGCGGAAAACAGAAUCCGGCUUAUCGGCCGGAAGCGUUU
rnacentral:RNase_P_RNA from 1 species